AAAGGGGAUUUAAGGACGUGAAGGAGCAGAAACGACAACACAUCAUGGAAGAUUCAAGAACUGUAGAUGCCUGAAGAAAAUGAUGAUCUGAAACACAGAGACACAGAAAAGAAAAGUAGCCACUCAUGCGAUGAAGACAAGGAUGACGGAUACACUGCAGACGUCGAAAGCCAGCAGCAGAAUUCUCCACCAGCCAGUCUACAAGGCAGAGGUCUGCAGAAGAUAUGGUUACUAAGUGUUCUGAAUGCUUCCAGAGUGCAUUGCUGCAGGCAACAAAAGUGAGCAAUGGUUGAUUUCGGAAGCUUUCUAAGCAUGAUCACAAAGGGGCUGAAAGCCACCUGACAGCUCUUCAAUCACACGUUACAGAAUCAAGACUGCAGGGCGAAGAGGAUUUCUGCUGGGACUUCAGCACUCCAUUUAGACAAAUGGGCUUUACUGUUAAUUGCAUGACUGCAGUUUCUCAUUCAACCUCUGCCUGAGCUCAUGCACCAAAUGGCCGAUAUUUAAUUAGCUGGUGAUAACUUGCCUAGAUUCAAGCAAAAUAUCUGUGACAGGUCAUCGCAUAAUAAUCCAGAUUUGUGCUUUAUUAAUAUCUGCACGAAGUUGCUUUAAAGAGCCAUUGAUAUUCCAGAAACAGUCUGAGAUUUUCACAUUCUGACAUUUUCAUGCCUUCAUGCCUGUAACUAAGAUCUUAAACAGAUGUAUGCCAGUAACCAAGAAUCCACCAUUAUCAGCAUCGAAAUAAAAGCAGACUGGGCAUAAUUAAUAUAGUGGCUCACUGGGCAUAUAGCAAACAUGGAUUCUUUUUCCUGCAUUCCACACCAGCCAGUCACCAGGCAGCUUCACUAAAAAGCCACAUAACCACUCAGUCUGUUGAUAAAUCUGACUUAAGGGGAAGCAGCUCAUAGAAACCACAGUCCAGCACCACACUUCUGAAGCCACAUAGCUGGCAACCCAAAACUCGCUUAAGGUGAGAAAGCACAGGCAUGUAUGCCUGCAAAAUACUAUGUAGAUGUGUUCAUCUUUAAACAGUAUUUAAAGCCACAGAAUCAGAAGAAUGAUCCUAGUAUGACUCAUGAAAAACAUGCAAAAUUCAUUACCCAAACCAAACACGACAGUGGAAAAGGCAGCAGGAAAGCCAGGGAUCAUUCAGAGUCAUCUGCUACUUUAAAGCUGUGACCUAUAUCUGGCAGGCAAAGACAAGACACUAGAAGACAGAGCUUUACAGCAACAGGAGAUUAUUAGGCAUAGUGGAGAAACAAUUGCUUGUUGCAAUUACAACUUCAAAGCAGAAUUUAACUCUCCCAUCUGCACCAUGGAUCUCUUUUGUAUGUUUGAGCUUGUUCCACUAUGAAUCUCCCAAUGCUGUCACAUGCCAUCUAUCCAAGAGUACUAUGUGCUGCUCACAUGGGAUCUACAGAUGGGUCAAAGAGGAAAAUUUUGCCUGAUGAAUUUUGCAUGAAAAAGCAGGGGAAAAAAAUCUUGCACUUGAAGGAAGCUAAUGCAAAUUUAAUAAUUAAAGGGAUGCCCUCGAUAUCAUUCAGCUAUCCAGUUUUGCUAUAUCCUUCAAUGUUUCCCUUUCAUAACAUUUACGAGGUUCAUACAUAAGGUACCUUGUUAGGAUGCUAGAAAAGAUGUUGCCGUGUUGUCUGACAUGGGCCUUGUCCUGGGAGCCAGAAUUUUCUUUUCUCCAAAUAAAUAUACUAAAGUAGUCGCACCAAAGAUUAGAAAGCCUGCUCAUGAAAUUCUUGUAAAAAUGUAUUUGUCUUAUGACUAUAACAAUCUUUUAAAUGGGUAACUGUAAAACAAGCAAUGUCCCCUCAUCUUCUCGGGGCAGAUUUACUUACUGAAUAACAUGUGAAUUCAAUACACAGGGGAAA